rnacentral:misc_RNA from 1 species
UUCAAAAAGUAUUGAGAGAGACAAAAAAAUGUCAGGGAUAAUACACAAGAUUGGUGAGACCCUCAACAUAGGAGGACACAAGGAAGAGCACAAGGAUGACCACAAGGGCGACCACAAGAGCGACCACAAGGGCGAUCACCAUCACGGAGGGUCCAAGGGACAGACUCAACACAAGGGAGGCUUAGUGGACAAGAUAAAGGACAAGAUCCAUGGAGGUGAGCAUGCUGAGGGUGAUAAGAAGAAGAAGAAUAAGAAGAAGGAAAAGAAGAAGGAUGGACAUGGCCAUGAACAUGGAAGCAGCAGUAGCAGCGACAGUGAUUAGAUCUCAUUAAUAUACCAAUAUCUAGGUGGUAUGGAGUGUGAAGAUAACCGAUCCUUUUGUGCCAGUUUAUGACAAAUACAGAAAUUGGUGGAAAAAGGAAAAUUAAUAAAGUCUCUCUCUCUCUCUCUCUCUCUC